rnacentral:rRNA from 1 species
AUUGAACGCUGGCGGCAGGCUUAACACAUGCAAGUCGAGCGAGCGGCGGACGGGUGCGUAAUGUCUGGGAAACUGCCUGAUGGAGGGGGAUAACUACUGGAAACGGUAGCUAAUACCGCAUACCAUCAGAUGUGCCCAGAUGGGCUUAGCGAGUAGGUGGGGUAAUGGCUCACCUAGGCGACGAGCCCUAGCUGGUCUGAGAGGAUGACCAGCCACACUGGAACUGAGAAACCGUACAGCAUCCUACGGGAGGCAGAAGUGUGGAAUAUUGCACAAGGGGCGCAAGCCUGAUGCAGGCAUGCCGCGUGUAUGAAGAAGGCCUUAGGGUUGUAAAGUACUUUCAGCGGGGAGGCGUUACCCGCAGAAGAAGCACCGGCUAACUCCGUGCCAGCCGCCGCGGUAAUAC